rnacentral:misc_RNA from 1 species
AAGUCGUAACAAGGUUUCCGUAGGUGAACCUGCGGAAGGAUCAUUACCAAAAACAAAAACCCAUUGAUACGUGUUGACAGCGAGUGCCGGUGUGCGUGCGUGCUCAAUGCUUGCAUGCAUGCCGGUACACGUUGGGACGCGUGUUGAUGCGAGUUUUACACCCCUUGUGUGAACCAUGGAUGUCAAUGUGCACACGCACAACCGUCGCGCCAACAGCUCUUGGGCGGUUGCUGCACGGCUGUGCUGUGCACAUGAUCAACACCCCAACAACAACCAACAAGGUCAACCUCUUGGACUAAACAUUUUUUGUUUUUUCACUGAAAAAACAUCCAUAAAAUACAACUUUUAACAACGGAUCUCUAGGCUCUC